UUUGCAUUAAUUUUCAAGCUUACAGAUUGAUAGAUACUGCCAUGAGCUGAACUGAACCAUACAUUUCAUGAGGAUAAAGCAUGAAUAGUCCCCUGUCAAUCAGGUUUUGAUCUUACACAUCAAGCCAUUUUGAUGAGAUGAUGUCUACCUCCGGUGACGAUCAAAGAAGAGCAGCCCUGAGUCGUGACAGCAUUUGAAGUAACUCUGUGCAAGAAAGAAGGUUUCAAGUAGUAAAUGUGCCACAAAUUAGUUGUGCUUUUUUUUCCAAAUCAAUUUCUAAUGGGGUUUUUUUUCCAGAUUCUUUGAGGCGCUGAGCGAAAUGUGGAAUCUGAGGCACCAAUGCAAGAAAUAUUCUCAGAGGUCUGAUUGUUAUAUACUUUUUUCCAACUCUUGCUCUACACAAAGGUCCGAAUGAUCGUCUCUGCUUUCGGAUGUCAACAUUUCUCCACACAAAGACUCAUAACGCUGGGAUGUGAGCGGUUUGCUGAUUGGAAUGAAACUUAUGGGCAGCUCAAAAGUGAAGCUAUUGCUCAUGGACUUCAAUGCCUAAUCCCCGUUAGCAGCAAAAGCGAAUAAUUCAUGUUAGCUGAGUCGCUGAAGUGAACUACUAACUACGUAUUUGUUAGCCAACUAUGUACCAGACGACAAGGUAACAAUCCAUGCUUGAUGCUUCAAAUACUGCAGAGGAAUCCACAGGAGUACUAAGGAAAGCUGAAAGUGAAUACAAAGGCCACCGCUCAUUGCUAA